rnacentral:lncRNA from 1 species
CCAAUUUUCUCACUUGUCUCUAUCUCUCUAUCUCUGGUUCUCUCUAGAACCUUUCCCCUCCCCUCCUCUCCGAUGAGUUCCCUUCAUCUUCUUCGGCCACCUCUUGGCCUGAAUCCAUGGUGGUUUCACCACCCACCAGCCUCCUACGGCUCCUCAUGUUUAUUAAUUAAGUUUCAUGACUUGACCACGCAGAGUUGGGUCCAUACCUCUGUUGAUUCAAGCUUUACGCCCAUCUCCGGCCCUGCUCUACCAAGCCAUGUUUGUUUCGAGCCUAGCCUCCACCCCUCCUGCUUAAAUCCAAGAUUUUCUCAUCGUUUGGGUUCCUCUGAAACCCCUAGAUUUUGAGGGUUUUUCUGAUCUCUUUUGAUCUUUUCCAGAUCUAUGCUUUCCCUAAGCUUUUAAGGGAUUUUCUUGAUUUUCUUUCAAAAAAAAAACUAUACUUUCAAAACCCUUUCUUUUCCGAUCUAGGGGUUUUAUGAGACAUUUAGAUGUUUCUCUGGUUUUCUCUCUCUUUUUUUUUGUGUGUUUCUUCUACUGUAUCUUCCUCUACUAUGUUCUUAUGUGUUUCUUCUAAUAUAUUUUCCUCUAUUGUAUUUUUGUAUGUUUCUUCUACUGUAUUUUCCUCUUCUGUGUUCUUGUGUGUUUCUUAUUAAGUUUCAUCUACUGUGUCCUAGUUAAGUUCCUUCUAAUAUGCUUCUCCUACUGUUCUUAUUAAUUUUUAUAUUAUGUUUUCUAUCAGUUCUUCUACUAUGUUCCUUUGAGUUCCUCUAUUGUGUUUCAUAUGUUGUUCUUUUACUAUGUUGUUCAUGAGUUUCUGCCACUAAAAGGCAUGUUAAAGGUCUCAGUUCCUUUCUAAGACCUCUGAACCUGUUUCAAGUAGUAUCUUUUACCCUGGUUAUCUGAUUUGCUGGCUCUUCAUCUUUUAACUUGCCUGAUAUCAAAAAACCUAAUUUUUGGGCCUAUCUACUGAUUCAUUAAGUUCCAAAAUCAUUGUUUCAAUUUUGUUUCUUCAUAUGAUUCUGACUGUUGCAAUACUCUAUAAGACCUUUCACUUGAUCCAUUAUCGCAUGCCUGAUUCUUGUGUACUCUUUAUAUGUGCUGAACUUCCCCCUCUAAAAUGGCUUUCAAAUAUUGAUUAGUUUCAGACUUCCUUCUAUAUAGUUUUGAUUGAGUUCUUUCCUUAUUUGCUGAUUUUCCUAUGACUCGAUUUAAGUUACUUGACUUUCCUUAACUUUUCUGACUUGGUUCAUUCAUGGACAAAUGAUUUCAAAAUCUCUGGUCCUUGAUUUAUUGGCUACUAAUUGACCUCUUACCUUAUUUAUGUAAUACGUAUAUUUCGAAGCUCUGCCCCUAAAAUAAACUUCUAUGUAUUUACCCCUAAUUGCAUACUUUGCACAAAAUGCUUGUUUGAUUUCUUUUCUUAAAUAACUUUUACCGUUCGAAUCUGAAUUCCUUAAUUAAAGGAAGUCUUGUGUUGAUUGCUUCUUAAUUGAUAUUCAGUUCCUUAACUAUUUUUUUACCUUGUUUCUGCAUGUUCUUCACACUAUAAAUACCUGCUCCUCAUUGACAUAAAAGGCCCUCACUUAUAGUCUUUCUGAACUUACACUUAUACGCAAUAGUAUUCUCUCUUCUUGUCUGCACUGUGGCAUGUUUACAAGACCUAAUCCUUUUCUUUAUUUGUUUCCUUGAAACUGGUUGUCCUGAUUUAAAUUUUAGCACCAUAACAAUGUGUUUAUUUAGUGCUUUUAUAACUAUGUCUACUUACUGUUUAUGUAUAGUUCAACAUUUAAAUUAGCAUGUUGAUUUCUUUCUGUCUGUUCUACUAUGAAUCCCAAAACCCCUGCCCCUAUGUGUUUGAGCUAUGGUUUAAGGCAUGUCAAUAUGCAAAUUAAUGUCCAUGAAUUAAACUUGAUCCCUUGGGAUCCUAGCCUCUGGUAGUGUAUUCUAACAGGCUUAUGGGUGUACUAGCUUCUCCAUUGCUAGGUAUGCCUAUAGCAUGUGUUACCUUUUUCAGUUUCCCUAUUCUCCCUAAACCCCCUUAUGUAUACUUAUCUGUAGCUAUUUCCCUCUCCUCUCCCCCUUUUGAAUUUUUUCUGCACUUGCACACUCUCUUAGUCUUUAAAUUCUGCCCCUCUUUUGUGAGCCUUGUCUUGGGACCCUUUGAGCUCCCUCUGAACCUGGAAACUUGAGGGAUGGCCCUUCCAUGCUGCACUUAUCCAAAUCUGAUAAUGUAUUUGGGUAUGAGCAUUAUGUGGAGUUUCUUUGAGGCUCUUAGGGAACUUUGACACAUCCAAAUGGAGAAAAGCUUUGGAUCAUGAUCUCAUGGAGUUGGUUUACCUCAUAUUUCAGACAUGAAGUCUGAAUCUGGCUCUCCUUGGUUGUACUUUCAUUUUUUGAAGUAUUUUACUUUAUUCUGGGCUAUAAUAAUUUGUAAUAAACUCUUGGGUAUGGCUAGAGAAAAGGGCGAGUAACUAUGUAUGCAAAGGGUAGAUACCAUAUCUAUAGGUAUUUCUAAAUUGUGCAUUUCUCACAUAGAUACCAUGUCUAUAGGUAUUUCUGAAUUCAGUAUUUCUCAC